ACAACUUGCAGGGGAAGCGAGCAAUAGGAAGAAAGGGAGAGCAGAACAGAUCCAGGAAGAAAAGGAGUUUGCGAUGGCUGGCCGAGCCGGCCACGCUCACAGCUGGAGGCGCAGCGAGAACUCUUCCACGUUAAACCAUCAGCAAAAGAAGAACACGCAUGGACAUCGCCUAUAAAUACCUUCCGCAAUGAAACAGAACAGGAUACGGGCUGGAAUACUCGCUUGGACACAAGACAGACCACCUAAAUAAUGCAAAAGCAGUGAAUGCUAACUAUCGGAUUCUUGUGGAUGUACUAAACCAACCUGUCAGACCAACUAGCACAGCCAUGUGGCACUUAAUUUCUCAGGGUUUUUUUCCCACGUAUUUCAUUAAUACAUCUUACACUAAUU